GGCGAACGGGUGAGGAACACGUGAGGAAUCUGCCUUCUACACUGGGAUAACUCCGGGAAACCGGGGCUAAUACCGGAUAUGAAACUUGGUGGCAUCACCGAGUUUGGAAAGUUUUUCGGUAGAAGAUGACCUCGCGGCCUAUCAGCUUGUUGGUGAGGUAAUGGCUCACCAAGGCGACGACGGGUAGCCGGCCUGAGAGGGCGACCGGCCACACUGGGACUGAGACACGGCCCAGACUCCUACGGGAGGCAGCAGUGGGGAAUAUUGGGCAAUGGAGGAAACUCUGACCCAGCGACGCCGCGUGCGGGAUGAAGGCCUUCGGGUUGUAAACCGCUUUCAGUAGGGAAGAAGCGAAAGUGACGGUACCUACAGAAGAAGCACCGGCUAACUAUGUGCCAGCAGCCGCGGUAAUACAUAGGGUGCAAGCGUUGUCCGGAAUUAUUGGGCGUAAAGAGCUCGUAGGUGGUUCGUUACGUCGGAUGUGAAAAUCUAGGGCUCAACCCUAGACCUGCAUCCGAUACGGGCUAGCUUGAGUUUGGUAGGGGAGGCUGGAAUUCCUGGUGUAGCGGUGGAAUGCGCAGAUAUCAGGAGGAACACCGGUGGCGAAGGCGGUUCUCUGGGCAUUACCUGACGCUGAGGAGCGAAAGCAUGGGGAGCGAACAGGAUUAGAUACCCUGGUAGUCCAUGCCGU
rnacentral:rRNA from 1 species